UUCCAGACUCCUACGGGAGGCAGCAGUGAGGAAUAUUGGUCAAUGGCCGAGAGGCUGAACCAGCCAAGUCGCGUGAGGGAAGACGGCCCUACGGGUUGUAAACCUCUUUUGUCGGGGAGCAAAGCGAACCACGUGUGGUUCAUUGAGAGUACCCGAAGAAAAAGCAUCGGCUAACUCCGUGCCAGCAGCCGCGGUAAUACGGAGGAUGCGAGCGUUAUCCGGAUUUAUUGGGUUUAAAGGGUGCGUAGGCGGUCGGUUAAGUCAGGGGUAAAAUGGGGGGGCUCAACCCCGUCGAGCCGUUGAAACUGGCAGACUUGAGUUGGCGAGAAGUACGCGGAAUGCGCGGUGUAGCGGUGAAAUGCAUAGAUAUCGCGCAGAACUCCGAUUGCGAAGGCAGCGUACCGGCGCCAGACUGACGCUGAGGCACGAAAGCGUGGGGAUCGAACAGGAUUAGAUACCCCAGUA
rnacentral:rRNA from 1 species